AGAGUUUCUUCUCCUAUUAGCGGCAACCUCCACCCCUCCCCCUCUCCCUUUCGCUUUUCCGGUCACCUGAAGCCAGCGCCAUCCCACCGCCUCCCGCCGCCGUUCCCUUGCCGCUCUCUCUCUCCCUCUCCUCUGUUAUCUCGGGCUAGCGGCUAGCGCAGCUGUCGCACGAAGCCUGCAACUUUGCUAAUCGGGAAAUCGCUUCGCCUCUCCAGCUCCAUUUUUUCGGCGACUCCAGUGCAAGCAGCCAACUCCGGCCUCUCUCUAGUCGACGGUGAAGCUCUAGCUCUCUUUCUCGCCGCUCUCUCUCCUUCCCGUCCAGGCUGGCGCAACAAACUAAGGAGCUGCAAGUUGCGAUCUUUUGCGAUCGGGACAGUCGACUCGCCGAUCUUCUUUGCUUUUCCCGGCGAAACUUGUCAAGGAUCGGCUGGUUGCACCUUCCAACGUCUCCAGCAAGUCCAUUGGCCACCGUUUUCCUUGGCUCCGGCUAAGCCACCUCCGGCAGAGUCAACCUUGAGUGUUGAAGCUAUUUCCGGUUAAUUUAACCGGAAAAUAACCAACUUCCCACAUAAUUUUCAACUAGGAAGUAGGAUUCCUGUAGGAUUUCUGUCGAGUCGUUUAAAGUUCUGCAACCUUCUUCGCAGAGCUAUAUAAGUAAAUUCCUAAUUUCUGUAAUUAACUAAUUUAUGUAUUGUUAUGUAUAAGAACUUUGCUACUUCUAGUUAUUAUUGCACUCCGCAGUUGUAGGAUUUAUAUACCUCUAAUCGUGUAGUAAAAUGGGUAUACUAUUCUAUGGACUUACAAAUGUCUUAAUCAUUUAUUUA